CGCUCAGAUUGAACGCUGGCGGCAGGCUUAACACAUGCAAGUCGAGCGGAAACGAUUCUAGCUUGCUAGAAGGCGUCGAGCGGCGGACGGGUGAGUAAUGCAUGGGAAUCUGCCCGAUAGUGGGGGACAACCUGGGGAAACUCAGGCUAAUACCGCAUACGUCCUACGGGAGAAAGCAGGGGAUCUUCGGACCUUGCGCUAUCGGAUGAGCCCAUGUCGGAUUAGCUAGUUGGUGAGGUAAUGGCUCACCAAGGCGACGAUCCGUAGCUGGUCUGAGAGGAUGAUCAGCCACACUGGGACUGAGACACGGCCCAGACUCCUACGGGAGGCAGCAGUGGGGAAUAUUGGACAAUGGGCGCAAGCCUGAUCCAGCCAUGCCGCGUGUGUGAAGAAGGCCUUCGGGUUGUAAAGCACUUUCAGCGAGGAAGAAAGCUGCUGGAUUAAUACUCUGGAGGAAGGACAUCACUCGCAGAAGAAGCGCCG
rnacentral:rRNA from 1 species